GCUGGGCACGGUGGUGCAUUCCUGUAAUCCCAGCAACUCAGGAAGCUGAGGCAGAGGAUCAAAAGUUCAAAGCCAGCUUCAGCAACUUAGCAAGACCCUGCCUCAA
rnacentral:sRNA from 1 species